rnacentral:tRNA from 1 species
GGGGAUUUAAUUUAAUGGUAGAAUAUUGUGUUUGCAUCACAAAUAUAUGGUUUCGAUUACCAUAAUCUCCA